rnacentral:misc_RNA from 1 species
AGUUUGAACUUUCCAUCUGUAGUGAAACAUGGAGGGUAAAUUUCUGGUGUGUGUUGUCCUCGUGCUACAGUGUAUGGGUGUUCUUGGUGGGCUUCAAAAGGACAUCAUAGUACCAGGUGAUGGUAAAACAUACCCAGAGGACAGGUGGACAGUGAUGGUGCAUUACACAGGUAUUUUGUCCGCCACAUGUUAUUGUUGAAAUUCUAGAUCGAUACUAUUAGUGUAGGCACGUGUAUACAUGUAUUUGUAAUAUUUGUCAACCUUGUAAAAUGAGCUCUUCACAAUAAAACGGAAAGACAGGGUUUGCAAACGAAUACAGGUGGUCAUUAUAAACUAAAGAAGUAUUUUUAGUUUAUAGUAGUAUAAAACCUAAGUUGCUUUAUCGUUUGUUAGUUUAGUCACAGUGUUCCAGCAUAUUUCAUAUAGUAGUAGAUAAUUAGGUAGUGUGUGUUGAAGUAAGGAUAUUAGGCAAGUGCCAUUAAUUGACUUUUAAUGUGAAAUGACAUUUGGAUUUUGACAGAGAUGUUUGAGAAUGGCACGGUGAUUGACAGUUCCAAAGGAAGAAAACCCCUGUUCUUUGUCGUUGGCGAAUCCAUUCCUGGUGAGUAAAUGAAAUUCUGUCGGAUAAGGCGCGGAUCCAACAUUGCUAAUGGUAUAAAAUUAACAUCUUACAGUGUUUGUCUUAUGGUUUCCUUUUUAAAUAUUCUUGUUUUUUUCUAUCAUAGCUCUGAACGAAGGCGUCAAAAGUGUGAGUAUGAUUUAAGAUUUGAAUAAUUUAACUUAAUUAAAAAACCAAAAAAAUCUAUUUCGUUCAGUAUUAGAUUGAAAUUAAUGCGCUUUUGGAGAUUUAUCCAAUAAGAUUUGUACUGUUGUGGCCUUGUCAUUUAUCAAGCUAUGGCUCGAUUGUUUUAUUAGACUGUCUGCAUUGCACUUGGUGAUUGGGACGGCGCACCUAAUUAAAUUGAUAAAACUGAUCGACUAAAUUAAUUAAGUUUGAAUCAUCGAUUACGGUCGAAAAUUUCAAAUUUAUCUUUAUUCAUAUAUUAGUCUUUUAUUUUUGGCAAAGAUAUUGACUACUUAGUUCAUUAGUACUGAUACCAAUACUCGCGAUUGAAUCGUCGAUAAUGUAUAUAUAACCUUGAUGAUACCAAAUCACUUGUACUUGGUCUUCAUUCAGGGAAAGAAAGAAAUUAGAAAUACGCCCAUACCAAAAUGAUAUAACGUACUACGAGUGGCUUCGACCCCCCACCCCCGACCCCGUAUUUUGCGAUGUUAAACGUCAUGCACCGCCGUAUUUGAUAAAUUCAUCUAGCAAUCAAAUUCCCGUCAAGAUAUUCGCAGUCUUUUAAAGUAACUUUCAAAUAAGACCGAAAAAGAAUGAAUAGGGGUAAAUGUAUUCUUUUUGUUUAAUUCUGUCUUCAAAUUAAACAUCAUGAAAUACCAGUAUAUCAUAAUACAGAAUUUGAAUGAUCUUGGCUUAUUGUAUCCGUCUUAUUUGGCAACUUUUAUUUCAUUGAACAUCAUUCUGUAACAAUUUUCAAAAUUUUAGAUGAGUAAAGGAGAAAUCUGUCAGUUGAGCGCAACUUCGGACUUGGCUUACGGAGAGGAGGGGAAACCAGGACUGAUUCCACCGAACACCCCCCUGGUCUUUGAGCUUCACUUGGUGGAUACCUGGAAUAAACCUUUGUACAUCUCUCUAGAAGACGUGGUCAUCGCUAACUAGCAACGAGGCCCUAACACUGAACAAACUGACUGGUCUGAGGGGAGUCCAGUAGUAUAUAUGUACACAUUUUCCAUGUGUAAUAAUCCUUCAGAUUUCCACUUUUUUAUUUUGGUAAAUUCUAUAUUAUAAAAGAAAUGUGGCUAUUC